rnacentral:rRNA from 1 species
AGCAGCCGCGGUAAUUCCAGCUCCAAUAGCGUAUAUUAAAGUUGUUGCAGUUAAAAAGCUCGUAGUUGAAUUUCGGGAUCAAUAUGUCGGUCGUGCCUUCGGUACGUACUGGCAUCAUUGAUUUCUCCCUUCUGACGAACCACGAUGUCAUUAAUUUGGUGUCAUGGGGAGUCAGGACUGUUACUUUGAAAAAAUUAGAGUGUUUAAAGCAGGCUCACGCUUGAAUACAUUAGCAUGGAAUAAUGAAAUAGGACGUUUGACCCUAUUUUGUUGGUUUCUAGGAUCAACGUAAUGAUUAAUAGGGAUAGUUGGGGGCAUUAGUAUUCAAUUGUCAGAGGUGAAAUUCUUGGAUUUAUUGAAGACUAACUACUGCGAAAGCAUUUGCCAAGGAUGUUUUCAUUAAUCAAGAACGAAAGUUAGGGGAUCGAAGACGAUCAGAUACCGUUGUAG